UACGUAGGUGGCGAGCGUUGUCCGGAUUUACUGGGCGUAAAGAGCGCGCAGGCGGUCGUACAAGUCGCGUGUGAAAGCCCCUGGCUCAACUGGGGAGGGUCACGCGAUACUGUUCGACUCGAAGGCAGGAGAGGGAAGUGGAAUUCCCGGUGUAGUGGUGAAAUGCGUAGAUAUCGGGAGGAACACCAGUGGCGAAGGCGAACUUCCUGGCCUGUUCUUGACGCUGAGGCGCGAAAGCUAGGGUAGCAAACGGGG
rnacentral:rRNA from 1 species